GACGAACGCUGGCGGCGUGCUUAACACAUGCAAGUCGAACGGUAAGGCCCUUCGGGGUACACGAGUGGCGAACAGGUGAGUAACACGUGGGUGAUCUGCCCUGCACUUCGGGAUAAGCCUGGGAAACUGGGUCUAAUACCGGAUAAGACCACUGCCUGCAUGGGUGGUGGUGGAAAGCUUUUGCGGUGUGGGAUGGGCCCGCGGCCUAUCAGCUUGUUGGUGGGGUGAUGGCCUACCAAGGCGACGACGGGUAGCCGGCCUGAGAGGGUGACCGGCCACACUGGGACUGAGAUACGGCCCAGACUCCUACGGGAGGCAGCAGUGGGGAAUAUUGCACAAUGGGCGCAAGCCUGAUGCAGCGACGCCGCGUGAGGGAUGACGGCCUUCGGGUUGUAAACCUCUUUCAGCACCGACGAAGCGCAAGUGACGGUAGGUGCAGAAGAAGGACCGACCAACUACGUGCCAGCCGCCGCAGUAA
rnacentral:rRNA from 1 species